rnacentral:rRNA from 1 species
UACGUAGGGUGCGAGCGUUAAUCGGAAUUACUGGGCGUAAAGCGUGCGCAGGCGGCGCGUUAAGACAGGUGUGAAAGCCCCGAGCUUAACUUGGGAAUUGCGCUUGUGACUGGCGUGCUGGAGUGUGGCAGAGGGAGGUGGAAUUCCACGUGUAGCAGUGAAAUGCGUAGAGAUGUGGAGGAACACCGACGGCGAAGGCAGCCGUCUGGACCGACACUGACGCUGAGGCGCGAAAGCGUGGGGAGCAAACAGG